rnacentral:misc_RNA from 1 species
AGUAAGUGACGUAUGGUCAAGAUGGUAGUUUGUAUGUUAAAAUCUUCGAUGUGUACAUGGUAUAUUCGUUUAAAUAAACAUUAAUUAUGAAUGGAUUUUUGUUCAACGUAAACUUUUAUUACAAUGGAAGAUAUUGAUGACAGUCAUAAUGAUAACAAAGGUGCUUUUUGGAAGAAAAAUACAAGAAAUGUACCUGGAAGUAUUAAACCAGUGUAUGGAGCUAUGCAUCCUCCUAGACUCGAAUCACA